GGAAUCUUCCGCAAUGGACGAAAGUCUGACGGAGCAACGCCGCGUGAGUGAUGAAGGUCUUCGGAUCGUAAAACUCUGUUGUCAGGGAAGAACAAGUACCGGAGUAACUGCCGGUACCUUGACGGUACCUGACCAGAAAGCCACGGCUAACUACGUGCCAGCAGCCGCGGUAAUACGUAGGUGGCAAGCGUUGUCCGGAAUUAUUGGGCGUAAAGCGCGCGCAGGCGGUCCUUUAAGUCUGAUGUGAAAUCUCGCGGCUCAACCGCGAGCGGCCAUUGGAAACUGGGGGACUUGAGUGCAGAAGAGGAAAGCGGAAUUCCACGUGUAGCGGUGAAAUGCGUAGAGAUGUGGAGGAACACCAGUGGCGAAGGCGGCUUUCUGGUCUGUAACUGACGCUGAGGCGCGAAAGCGUGGGGAGCAAA
rnacentral:rRNA from 1 species